UUGAGCCGUAUGCGGUGAAAGUCGCACGUACGGUUCUUAUGAGGGGAAAGACCGUAAGGUCCUACCUAUUCAAAC
rnacentral:ncRNA from 1 species